UCCGAUAUGGUGUAACGGCUAACAUUACCGCCUUUCAUAGGGAGGUUUGCGGUAGCUCGGGGUUCGAUUCCCCAUAUCGGAG